UAGUGUUUCAAGAAGGGGGAAGUGGUCAGCUACAGGGAAAGCACUUGAAAAGUCGAGGAACGUGAGGACAUAGAAAUAACCACUGGGGUGGAAAUCACUGAGGUUGUUGGUGACAUUAGAAUUUCAGUGGAGUGGAGAGGACAGAAGAUGGACAACCGUGUUAAGAGAAUGAGAAAGUUUCACCCUGUUACCUAGGCUGGAGUGCAGUGGUACUAUCCAGCUCACUGCAACCUCCACCUCCCAGGUUCAAGUGAUUCUCCCACCUCAGCCUCCCAAGAAGCUGGGAAUACAGGAGUCCACCACCAUGCCCAGGCAUUAUUUUCUCAUUGGCAGGAGCCUCCAGUGAAAUGCUGGUCUCUUCCUUUUCCCUGUAUACGUAUUAAGCGUCUAAGAUCAUGAGUCAGUGAGGACAAGCCGCCUCAGUCAAUUAACAGGAGCAUAGCUACACUAAGUCCUGCAAUUAGAAGCUCUGACUUAGAAGCUGGAGAAGCAGAGAGUGCUGAGCGAUGCUGAAAAGUCACUGCCCAGAAAAAUUUAAGAAACUUUCCAAAUCACCCACUCGUAGAACCUCCUUUUUCAAUGGGACAUUUUUAUAUAUUUUUAAAAGUAUGCAUGUAGAGUAAAGUAAAGCGCUUCUUCCAAUAAAGACGUUUUUUGAAAAAUUCUAUUUACAGCCCAGACUUUCCUGCCCUCUUGUGGAGAAAAUACAGAGCUCUCUAUUCAUAUAAAUAGGAUGGCUUUUUAAAACUUGCAGCUGGCUUUUUCAAUGGUACGUGUAAUUUACUGUCAUGGUUGGAUCCCCUGAUAUUCACAGAACUUUACUAGCUAUAAAAUCAGAAUAACAAAGUAGAGCUAAAUAGGUAUUAUACUGGAAAAAACCAUCUAAUUCCAGACAAGAAAAAGUUGCAUUGAUUAGGAUCUGUUUGUUUGUUUGUUUGUUUGUUUGCUGGGAGGCAGGGAAGGGGAGGGAAAGUGAGAGGGAGAAAGUGAUUCGUUUUUAAUAGUACUUAGAUUUAUAAAUAAAUAUAUUCAAAAUAACUAGCAAAAGAGAGAGGAAGAAAGAGACAGAGAGUUUUCAAAGUGGCCAUCAGAAAGCUCUGGUCCUGUUUCCAUCUUUCCACCCAGAGAAUGGACCAGUGUCUCUCUCUUGUGGGGCUGCCACUGCACAGUGCCACCUGGACAGGACCAGCCUGGGACACAGAACACACAAAUCCCAUCGGCAACUCUCAUGAAAUCACAGAAUUCCCAAAUUGCCAUAGGUUGUUUUAUUUUGUUUUCUUUUGUGACUGUUGCCCAGGCUGGAGUACAAAGGCACGAUCAUUGCUCACUGCAGCCUCAAUCUCCUGGGCUCAAGCAAUCCUCUUGCCUCAGCCUCCCAAGUAGCUGGGACUAGAGGCAUGUGCCACUAUGCCUGGUUACUUUUUUAAUUUUUUUGUAGAGAUGAGGUCUCAGUUUGUUGCCCAGGCUUGUCUCAAAUUCCUGGGCUCAAGCGAUCCUCCUGCCUCAGCCUCCAAAAGUGCUGGGAUUACAGACAUGAGCACCGUGCAUGGCCUGCUUUGUUUUUUUAAGAAAGUUGGUUUAAGUGGGUUUAAAUUGACCCCAGGAGGCAGGGGCUGGGGGUCCUGAGCUGCACAUUCAACACCCAGCUCCAAUCAGUGGCCAACUUAUACAUGAUUUAGGCACAAAUUUGUUUUGGCCGUCCACCAAAAGAUGCUACAUUUCAUUCUGAUUGUUACCUGUUCUGAAGUUAUCAUAUGAAAAGUGCUACAGUAGGCUGGGCGGCGUGGUGGCUCAUGCCUGUAAUCCUAGCACUUUGGGAGGCUGGGGUGGGCAGAUCACAAGGUCAGGAGUUCGAGACCAGCCUGACCAACAUGGUGAAACCCCGUCUCUACUAAAAAUACAAAAAUUAGCCAGGUGUGGUGGCAUGUCCCUGUAAUCCCAGCUAUUUGGGAGGCUGAGGCAGGAGAAUGGCUUGAACCCGGGAGGUGGAGGUUGCAGUGAGCCAAGAUCAAACCACCACACUCCAGCCUGGGUAACAGAGCGAGACUCCAUCUCAAAAAAAAAAAAAAAGAAAAGAAAAGAAAAAGAAAAGAAAAGGGCUAGGGUAGAAUCCAACGUGUUUUUUUAAUGGUUUUAUAAUGGGGGGGAGGAGAAAAAUUCAUGAUCUUAAGUAAAAUUAUCAUGGAGAAAUGUCUUAAACUUCAGAAAAGCAGCAUGAUCUACUGUAGACAGAGCUUUUCCCCAAGUUGGAGACAUUCAGAAGUUCACUAAGCAUCCCAAGCAUGGUGCAAAGCACCAAGGGCCACAUGAAAGAAACACAAAUCAUGAGUCCUGCUUUACAUCACAAGGUAUCUGCCCAAGGACCAAUCACAUGCAAGGGCCCAGUCCAUCUGGGGAGACGAGGCCUAUGCAACAGCUGCGCAGGAAGGCCCAAAUGGACAAAACAGACCCCAUAAUAAAUGGGCCAGAGAGGGGAGGCCAGAGCCUCUGUGAUCUCCUGGGAUCAGAUAGAACCUGGGGAGAGAGAAAGAAGAGAGAAGCCUGCUCCAUGUAGCACAAACUUGGGAUGGCUGAUAAAAAGAUUGAGCAUGUUGAAUCUGAAGGACUCCCAAGGCACGGCUCUCUAAGUGAAAAGUACCUGGCCCCAAAGAAGGCAAGAUAAGCUGAACAGGUGGAAUGAAACCAGAUGAGAUUUCAAUGCUGCAAUCUGGAUUUAAUCAGCGGGAACCCAUGAAUGAUGUCUGGGUAGGUUUAUUGAUGACAUUUCUACAUCUGAAGAGUGUUUCCAGCACCCUAAGAGUGGGGAUGCAAGAGGCAGGGAGGUCAUCCAGGUGGUUGUUAAAGUGAUUCAGGCUGAGCUACAGAGAAGGCAAUGAAUCCACAAGCUACUGUCUAAAAAGAUUAAGUAUCAUGAAUAGGUGACUAAAGGAAAGAGGGAAAAAAUAUGGGGAUGGUGGGACAUGACAUUGAUGAAAUCAAGAAAGUGGGUGAGUGGAAAAUUCACAUGCUACAUGUUUACUGCCAUAUGUCAAGUCAGACUCAUAUGCUGCUGUAGAAGAGUUGUAAUUGCGCUUUGCAAAGCCAAGGUGAGUGUUUUGCUUGAGCCCAGGAGCUCAAGACCAGC